rfam:Bacillus amyloliquefaciens FZB42, complete genome.
UAAAACACUGUGAACGGGAGCAGUAAAAGAAUCCAGUCAGAAAAAGAGAGCCGCGGGUUGGUGCAACGCGGACUGAUUGUUCUUUGAACUCGCCCGGAAGUGGCAGGGCGGAACGGAAUUGUCGAAAUAUUCCCUAUGUCCUAACGGCUGACCUUCGUUAAAAGGUUUUUAAGCUGGAUUCCGGACAUUCGGGAUCAACAAGAGUGGUACCGCGGCUGCCUGAGGCACGCCGUCUCUUUU